rnacentral:lncRNA from 1 species
CAUAUCUCCCGAUUUCCAAAAUUUUUGGCAUACGUGUACUUUGAAUCGAGUUACAUCGGAAUAUGUAAUAAAAAAUGGGGGUCACCAUUUUUGUUUUUUUGUAAUUUUCAUAGGAAAACGUCAAUUUUGGCGACAAAUUUACUUAGGUAUAUAGGGGAAAUGCCUUUUUUUUCGGCUUACCUUUUUAGAUUUUCGAAUGGAUGGCUAUUUUCUUAUAUACGGAGAAAAACAAAAAACUAACAUAAUAUCCAGGAUUGCAUAGUGAAUCCAUACACGUAUAGAAACUCAUAUGUCA